GUAGAUGCUCAUUCCACCUUCUAUGUUUGCUCCGGCUUCAUAAACCUGGGAAUGACGCAGAGCCGUUUACGGUGCUUAUCGUCCAACACCAUAUGAAGGAUAUCUUCAUUGGACUUUUCGGACAUGACGUUGAGUGAGGCACCACAAAUUGUCUUAUAGACCUGAUUUUAUUUAACGCUUGUCGUUUAUCGGCAAGCGUUUUUUU
rnacentral:sRNA from 1 species